UUUGUGUCUGCCGCCGCGGUAAUACGUAGGGUGCAAGCGUUAAUCGGAAUUUCUGGGCGUAAAGCGUGCGCAGGCGGUUUUGUAAGACAGAGGUGAAAUCCCCGGGCUCAACCUGGGAACUGCCUCUGUGACUGCAAGGCUGGAGUGCGGCAGAGGGGGAUGGAAUUCCGCGUGUAGCAGUGAAAUGCGUAGAUAUGCGGAGGAACACCGAUGGCGAAGGCAAUCCCCUGGGCCUGCACUGACGCUCAUGCACGAAAGCGUGGGGAGCAAACAGGAUUAGAUACCCUGGUAGUCCACGCCCUAAACGAUGUCAACUGGUUGUUGGGUCUUCACUGACUCAGUAACGAAGCUAACGCGUGAAGUUGUCCGCCUGGGGAUUACGGCCGCCAAAGAACCC
rnacentral:rRNA from 1 species